CCCGAUAAAAAUCGAAACCGGAGAGAGAGAGAGCAAGAGAGCUUCAGUAGCUUAAGCUGGAGUGACCAGAUUGGCAGAAACGAUGGAGCUCCAGAACACUGUGAAAGAUGCCCUAAACGCACUGUACCAUCAUCCCGACGACGCCGUUCGGAUGGAAGCCGAUCGCUUUCUGCAGAAUUUCCAGAAAACCCUAGACGCCUGGCAGGUUGCUGAUAACUUGCUUCACGACUCCACUAGCAAUCUGGAAACUUUGAUAUUUUGCUCCCAGACCCUUAGAAGCAAGGUACAACGAGAUUUUGAAGAACUACCUUCUGAAGCUUUUCGCCCAUUGCGCGAUUCCUUAAAUAACUUAUUGAGAGAGUUCCAUAAGGGUGCCCCUAAAGUCAGAACUCAGAUUAGCAUUGCUGUUGCUGCUCUGGCUGUACACGUUCCUGCUGAAGAUUGGGGGGAUGGUGGUAUAGUAAACUGGCUUCGGGAUGAGAUGAAUUCACAUCCAGAAUAUAUACCCGGAUUUUUAGAGUUACUGACAGUUUUGCCUGAGGAAGUAUUCAACUACAAGAUAGCAGCUCGCCCGGAAAGACGCCGGCAAUUCGAGAAAGAACUUACUUCUCAAAUGGAGGUUGCUCUUAACAUAUUGACAGCAUGCCUGCAAAUGUAUUCAGUCUUCCUUGAGAAAAUUGAAUAGAGAAAGUCUUGGUUUUUAACUUCUGUUCGUUUCAGGAUCCCUGGAUCUAUUCUUGCAUCUCACCCAUUGGUGCUCACAGCUCUUUCCAGCUUGAAUUCUGAAUUCGUUUCAGAGGCAGCUGUAAACGUUAUUUCCGAGUUGAUACACUAUACAACAUCUAGAGAAUCUGGUGGUGUGCAAGUUCAAAUGCCUCUAAUUCAAGUCAUUGUUCCCCAAGUGAUGAAUCUCAAGGCACAGCUUAGAGACUCUUCCAAGGAUGAAGAAGAUGUGAAGGCUAUUGCUCGAUUAUUUGCUGACAUGGGGGAUUCAUACGUCGACCUGAUUGCAACUGGUUCUGAUGAAUCAAAGUUGAUUGUACAAGCAUUAUUGGAAGUUGCUGCACAUCCAGAAUAUUAUAUUGCUUCCAUGACAUUCAAUUUUUGGCAUAGUCUUCAGGUGACCUUGACAAGAAGGGAUUCUUAUAUUUCAUUGGGUAAUGAAUUCUCCAUUGAAGCUGAGCAAAACAGAAGACUGCAUAUAUUCCGCCCGGCUUAUGAGUCGCUCGUAUCUUUGGUUAGCUUCCGAAUUCAAUAUCCUCGAGAUUAUCAAGACCUGUCAUAUGAGGACCUUAAGGAGUUCAAGCAGACUAGAUACGCUGUUGCGGAUGUUUUAAUUGACGCAGCAUCAGUUUUAGGAGGUGAUGCGGCACUGAGAAUUCUUUACAUGAAACUUGAUGAGGCCGCAGCCUGCUGUCAGAAUGAAGAAAGUGAAUGGCGCCCAGCAGAAGCUGCUUUAUUUGGCAUCCGGGCUAUAUCAAGUUAUGUAUCUGUAGUGGAAGCUGAAGUAAUGCCUAAGGUCAUGGGCAGACUACUAAAACUACCUCAGCAUCCCCAACUUCUUCAGACAGUGUGCUUAACAAUAGGAGCUUAUUCAAAAUGGCUUGAUGCGGCAUCUGGUGGACUCUCUAUACUGCCUUCAGUUAUAGAUGUCCUCAUGAAUGGCCUUGCUAAAUCUGAAGAUUCUGCAGCAGCUGCAGCUUUGGCAUUUCGGCAGAUCUGUGAUGAUUGCCGGUUAAAGCUCUGUGGAUGUUUGGAAGGCCUUUUUAAUAUAUAUCACAGGGCAGUGAAUGGUGAAGGUACUUUGAAAGUCUGUGCUGACGAUUCAUUGCAUCUAGUUGAAGCUUUAAGCAAGGUCAUUAGUGAACUUCCCCCAGACCAAGCUAAAAGGGCUCUUGAGGCCUUGUGUUUGCCAGUCGUUAGUCCUUUACAGGAAGUUCUUAGCCAAGCGCCAGAGAUGCUAAAUAACAGGCCUGCUCGUGAUUUCACAGUUCAUAUUGAUCGGUUUGGGUACAUCUUUAGAUAUGUAACUCAUGCAGAAGCUGUGGCAGAUGCAGUCCAGAGGCUUUGGCCAAUUUUCAAAGCCAUAUUUGAACUUCGUGCUUGGGACAUGCGGACAAUGGAGUCUAUUUGCCGAGCUUGCAAAUACGCUGUGAGAACUUCUGGAAGGUGCAUGGGAACUACAAUUGGAGAGAUGCUAGAGAAGAUUCAAGAAUUAUUUAAACAGCAUCACCAACCAUGCUUUCUUUAUCUCUCUAGUGAAGUUAUAAAGAUAUUUGGCUCAGACCCGUCGUGUGCUGAUUAUUUGAGAAAUUUGAUUGAAUCACUAUUUCAGCAUACAACACGUAUUCUCACGAGCAUCCAAGAAUUUACUUCCAGACCAGAUAUAGCAGAUGAUUGCUUUCUACUGGCGUCAAGAUGCAUCCGUUAUUGUCCGCACUUGUUUAUUCCUUCUGCAGCAUUUCCAGCGUUAGUAGAUUGCUCCUUGAUUGGAAUAACAGUACAACACAGGGAGGCGUCAAAUUCAAUAUUGACCUUCUUAUCAGAUAUAUUUGAUCAUGCAAACUCCACUGAGGGGGCAAUAUACUCACCCAUCAGGGAUACUGUAAUUAUUCCUCGAGGACCCAGCAUGGCAAGAGUUUUGAUUGCUGCAUUAACAGGAGCAAUUCCAAGCUCUCGCCUAGAAAAUGUAACUUAUGCACUACUAUCACUAUCUCGAACAUAUGGGGCACAGUCAGUGGAGUGGGCCAGGGGGAGUGUUUCAUUAAUUCCUUCGACGGCUGUGACAGAAGUUGAGCGUGCAAGGUUUUUACAGGCAUUGGCAGAUGCUGCAGCUGGGGUUAAUGUCAAUUCCCUUUCAGUUCCACUCGAGGAGCUAUCAGAUGUUUGCCGGCGUAACCGAACAGUCAUGGAUAUUGUUCAAGGAGCUUUGAGGCCGACAUGAAUUGAAUAUAGCAGCUGUAUCAUAAGAGAAAGGAAUAUGUCAUCAGAGGGGCCAUUUUUCUUAGGCCUCUCCCCCUGUCGGUAAAAUGAGUUUUAUCUGUUGCGUGAAUUUGUUUUCAUUAUUUUUUUUUUCUCUGGAUUUACUUUGAUUCUCCACAUUUUAAGGAGAGUCAAUGCCCUUUUACAUAGGGUGGGGAGGGAGAAGAAUGGUGGUAUCUGUAUUUUGAGUGAUUUCCUUGGCGUUGUCAUUUUUGGGGUUAAGAUGACAUGGUAUAGAGAGCUGUAGAUUAAUACAAGGAAAGAAAUUGUAGGCAUUCUUUAGGAGAGAGAGAGUAUUCCAUCCUUUCAUGUUAUUGAAAUAUUGGAAGCUGUGGAUAGUUGGGUUUAGUCUAGCGGG